ACAGGGUAUUAUAGUUUAAUCAGCUGCAGAAAAAGUACAUGUCCAGGUGACACGCACGUUCUUCUCAUUCAGUCGUCAACUAAACGAUAAAGAUCCAGAAUGAAUACCAAGUGGAAAGGAUUUGUGAUACUUUUUCUCUUCGAAUUCACUGGAAUGACAGUUUAUUACACCUUGGAGUUGAGCGACGGACUUCACAAACUAGGUCUCUUCACAACAUUGGGAUCACCAAUACAAGGAUUCUUUGAAGGAGGACAACCACUACCUUCAUUUAACGGACCAGCAUUUACCAGUUGGGACCAACGUACUUGCAGCAAGCCAAGGCAGCAAUUCGUCUUCAUCAAAACACACAAGACAGGAAGUAUGACCAGCGUCAAUAUUUUUCAAAGAUAUGUCAUCUACCACAACGUGACUCCACUGGUA